GUUUUAUAUAACUGGAAAGGAAGAAACAAGAUAUCUUUUGAAAAAUCUAAACUGCUAUGAAGAUUAAUUAUUAUCAACAAAACAGAAACCACACUUGCUCUGAAUUAAAUUAAAAAAGAAGCAUUGUAGAGGCAAUGUUUAUAUAGCAAAUUGAUAUUAUUUUUCAAUAUUCUAUUGUCCUUCGAAUGUUGUGCCAUAGUUAACGUAACAUAUUUUUGUAAACCCAAAUGACAAAAAUAAAAACUUGAAAGUUCUUUCUAAA